rnacentral:tRNA from 1 species
UACAUUUAAGUAUAUGAUGUACAAAAGUUUUUGAUACUUUAAGAUACAGUUUAAUUCUGUAAAAUGUAA